CAAAAACACUAGGCAGGGUGUUGCAGUCGUCACCAGCAGCAGCUUGAUACAGAUUUCGCAAAGCAGAAGUCAGCCCGGAAGAUCACCGUGUCGAACAAUUUAAGCCACUGUGAUAUAAUGCUGGAUGUGUGUGAAGCAAAGCACCUUCAGAAUGCAAGAGAUGCGAGAGCAUACCCCCUGGGUCAUAAGCAGUCCUGAGAUCUGCUGCUACCAAGCAGCCCAUAUAAAGCAUCUAUGGCUGAGGUGCCUUUGUUAUGUUGCCUGCUCCUCCUUCAGGGAGAAUAGCAACAGACCUGGCUUUUCAUUACAUCAACAAAAUAGAGAAUAGGACCCUAACUGCGUUAUUUCCAUCAGCAAUCUGCUGCCUCAGGAUGAAUCACACUGUUAGUGAGGUCAAGAUGAGUUGCUCGCUUACUCCUGAAAAGAUCAAAUUUGUAACCAAAAAGUGCAAGAGAAACUGUUUUGCCCAAGAUAUCUUGAAAAUGUGGGUCACUUAUCACUCUAAAACUUUGAGCAGUUAAGAUAAUGUAAAUCUACAGAGACUUGAUGUGCACCCAGUGUACUAAAUGGUGUUAGCCUGAGGGCACGACGAAAAACAGCAUGAAAAAUGGACUAUCUGCAUUUCUAAAUAUGCCAGACUUAAACAUUCAUAACUUUAAACCUUGUUUCUUUAGAGGCUUCAUUGUCUGUCCUGUGUCGGCAAGUGUUAUGAGCUUGCUAAGUUUGAUGUUUCCAGUUUCAGUCAUUUGGAGUUAGUCAAGCACAAUAAUCCCAAAUGGAACAUAUGGAAACAUCACUCUGUUUUGUCUUGCACACAUAACUCAGAACUGGCUCAGAACGGAUGCAGCUCAAACUUUUCAGACAAAGAAUCGCCAUUGGCCUAAGACCAAGUAUAGGAAAUACAAACCUGUACAGCAUAUGUUGGGAAAGCUGUGCACAUACUACAUUAAAAAACAAAUAUGUAAAACUUAACAGUUUGUGUUGCUAGAUCACUUACUGUAAAGAAGUCCUACUCCUGAUGAAAAUUCAUAGAUGCUGCAUUGCUUUGAUAUAGUCGUAUCUGAGUUUAGUUUAUUACUCAAACCAGUUCAAGGUAAUGGGAUAUUUAAAAGAAAGUAGGCGCUGCCUUAGCAAACUUUUUAAAGACAUUGAAGAAGAAAGGAAUUAGCUUGAAAUCAAAAGUUUAACAUUUGAGUAUAGUUUCA
rnacentral:lncRNA from 1 species